GAUACAGUUAGCUCAGUUGGUUAGAGCGUGGUGCUAAUAACGCCAAGGUCGCGAGUUCGACCCUCGUAGUGAUCA
rnacentral:tRNA from 1 species